CACAAAAUAGCUCAGAAGGUAAAGCAUGAAACUCUUGAUCUCAGGGUCAUAGGUUUGAGCCCCAUAUUGGGUGA